AAUUAUAGUUUUGACCCCAAUUUCAUGGUCAACUGAACAUAGGAAAUGAAAGUGCGAAGUUCAGGUUAAAGUUUUUGGUCAAGGUAGUUUUUGAUAAAGUUAAAGUCACAACUACUUGAAACUUAGUACACAUGUUCCCUAUGAUAUGAUCUUUCUAAUUUUAAUUCCAAAUUAAAGUUUUGACCCCAAUUUCACGGUCCACUGAACAUGGAAAAUUAUAGUGCAAGUGGGGCAUCCGUGUACUAUGGACACAUUCUUGUUGUUUUUGUUUUUGUUCUUGUUUUU
rnacentral:lncRNA from 1 species